rnacentral:rRNA from 1 species
AACGUAGGACGCAAGCGUUAUCCGGAGUUACUGGGCGUAAAGCGCGGGCAGGCGGUUGGUCAAGUCUGAUGUGAAAUCUCCUCGCUCAACGGGGAGCAGCCAUUGGAAACUGGGCAACUGGAGUCUGGCAGAGGUAGGCGGAAUUCCGGGUGGAGUGGUGAAAUGCGUAGAGAUCCGGAGGAACACCAGAGGCGAAGGCGGCCUACUGGGCCUGUACUGACGCUGAGGAACGAAAGCGUGGGGAGCGAACGGG